GUCUCCGUGGCGCAACGGGUAGCGCGUCGGACUUCUAAUUCGGAGGCUGUGGGUUCGAAUCCCACCGGAGAUG
rnacentral:tRNA from 1 species